GGAGGGAUGGCCGAGUGGUUGAUGGCGGUAGUCUUGAAAACUACUAUCCCGGUUUUCCGGGAUCGGGGGUUCAAAUCCUCCUCCCUCCG
rnacentral:tRNA from 1 species